UUAUUCAGUGAUUUGGAGCAGCUUAUUAUAAUAAUAUUGUAUUAAACAUUAUUUUUUCUUCUUUAAAAUUAAAGAUAAGGACAAAUGUUGAAUGGACACUGGAUAGAGUCUCCAUUUGAAGUGAAUGAAAGAUGCACAAACUGAGCAGCACAGCCACUGUGCUGGAGGCCUGUGCAUCUUGUGCAGUUGACACAGGCAGGAAGCAGGCAGCCUGCAGAUGAGUCUCUCUGGCAGGAUGAGACAGGAGCAGCUGAGCCCACUGAAAGCCUCCCUUUCUGAUCAGCACUAUGGCCACUUACACACUGGCCUGUGGAGCUGCUGGUCACAGUCAGCAGCAGCACCGUCAGGAUUCAACACCAGAUGGUGACACAGUUCCCACCCUCACAGUCCUGCUCCCCUCCAGUGUGGAGCUGAAGCAGGGAAAAGCCACACUGGUGUGUCUGGCCAACAAGGGCUUCCCCUCAGACUGGACUCUGCGCUGGAAAGUGGACGGUACCAGUAGGAGCUCGGGCGUGGCCGGGAGUGUGGGGGUCCUGGGGAAGGACGGCCUGUACAGCUGGAGCAGCUCCCUGACUCUCAGUGAGAACGACUGGGUGAAGGCAGGGUCACUGACCUGUGAGGCCACAAAGGGCUCCCUGUCUGCCCCCCCUCAGACACUGAGGAGAGCCCACUGUUCUUAGUAGGCCGGGUGGAGGCCCAGCUCACACACUCUGGUCACACUGUUUUUACCCUGUUCUGCCCUCAGCCUCUCUGCUCCUUACUGCUGUCACACUGAGCUGAGCCUGUGUGUGAAUCCUUCCCCCAGCCUGAGCUUUCAGUGCUAAUAUCUGACAUGUGCUCUGCUUGUGCUCUUCAACAAAUAUGCCUUCUUAUUUGUG